rnacentral:rRNA from 1 species
GGUCAAGUUAUUAAGGGUGCAGGGCGGAUGCCUUGGCACUAGGAGCCGAUGAAGGACGUGAUAAGCUGCGAUAAGCUUCGGGGAGUUGCACGUAAACUUUGAUCCGAAGAUUUCCGAAUGAGGAAACUCACUUAGAGUAAUGUCUAAGUAUCAUUAAGUGAAUACAUAGCUUAAUGAGGGGAACUCAGGGAACUGAAACAUCUAAGUACCUGAAGGAAGAGAAAGAAAUUCGAUUCCGUAAGUAGCGGCGAGCGAACGCGGAUUAGCCCAAACCAAUAAAGUUUUCUUUAUUGGGGUUGCGGACAUAUCAUAACGAAGAGGUAUCGUAAUUGAAGAGGUUUGGAAAGACCCACCACAGAAGGUAAUAGUCCUGUAUGUUAAACGAGAAGACUUUAGAUAUGAUCCAGAGUACCACGGGACACGUGAAACCCUGUGGGAAGCAGGAGGGACCACCCUCCAAGGCUAAAUACUACCUAGUGACCGAUAGCGUAUAGUACCGUGAGGGAAAGGUGAAAAGAACCCCGGGAGGGGAGUGAAAUAGAACCUGAAACCCUGCACUUACAAGCUGUGGAAGCACAUUUCUUGUGUGACCGCGUACUUUUUGUAGAACGGGCCAACGAGUUACGUUAAGUAGCAAGGUUAAGCACUUAAGGUGCGGAGCCGUAGCGAAAGCGAGUUUUAACUGAGCGUUCAGUUACUUGACGUAGACCCGAAACCGGGCGACCUACCCAUGAGCAGGAUGAAGCGAAAGUAAAAUUUCGUGGAGGUCCGAACCCACGAGCGUUGAAAAGCUCGGGGAUGACUUGUGGGUAGCGGUGAAAUUCCAAUCGAGCCCGGAGAUAGCUGGUUCUCCCCGAAAUAGCUUUAGGGCUAGCCUCAAGGUGAGAGAUACGGAGGUAGAGCACUGAAUGUCCUAGGGGGUAUUGCACCUACCGAAGACUAUCAAACUCCGAAUGCCGUCAUCUUAUACUUGGGAGUCAGACUGUGGGUGAUAAGAUUCAUAGUCGAAAGGGCAACAGCCCAGAUCGUCAGCUAAGGUCCCUAAAUGUAAGUUAAGUGGUAAAGGAUGUGGGAUUGCACAGACAACCAGGAUGUUGGCUUAGAAGCAGCCACUCAUUCAAAGAGUGCGUAAUAGCUCACUGGUCGAGUGAUCCUGCGCCGAAGAUUUCCGGGGCUAAAACUUACUACCGAAGCUACGGCAUCAGUAAUGAUGGGUAGGGGAGCUUCCCAUACGGGUUGAAGCAUGACCGUAAGGACAUGUGGACAGUAUGGGAGUGAGAAUGUUGGCAUGA